GAACGAAUAUUUUGCCCAGGCCUA
rnacentral:siRNA from 1 species